UGGGAUGAUUGCCAUUAAUUUUUACCGCUUUAGAUUUUACAGUUGGCAAAUGAUGUCCAAUGCGACUACGUCUUUAUAAUUAAUACGGGCGCGUAUCACAAUUUGCAUUAAUAAAAUUACAAGAGAGGAAAAAAACAUUUUAAAAGAAAGAAAACAAAAGAAAAGAAAAGAAAAAAACCAGAAAUAAAAUGAUUUCAAAGUUAAUAGAAGCAAAGAAAUUGAGAUUUAUAUCCAAGUGAUGUGAAUCAAGAAGUGCUCCUCAACAGUAGUCGUAAAAGCUGUUUAAUCAAUAGUUGAGCAUGAGUUAGUUGCUUUGACUUAAAAGUGAACGAUAUUCGAGCAAAAUCAUCUAAGGGCUGUGAACGAAAUUCCUUCGCAAAAGUGUGACUUUGGCGACUUUGGCAGGGAACAUUUUUCGUGCAUCUACGAGAUGUCUGAGUGAUAUUAAUUAUAAAUAAAUGUAAGAAUGCUUAUCAAUGAAAAUUUU